UGUCCGGAAUUAAAAUGCAAAGCAAACGUGACGACUGAUACCCAAACGUUGUUGUCAUUUUUAAAUUCAAGGCAAACGAAAGAAUAAAGAAGUACCAUGAGGGACCCCAGAGGGUACCAUUCUGAUACACAUCCUUCUGCGAGUUUGACUCUUUGGUCUCAAAUGGUAAGAAAAUCAAUUAUCCAGUUGAUUAUGGAAUUUGGUAAGUUAAAAGAACAUAGCUUGGUAACAAGCAUGUGGUGAUCUAUCAGAUCAAAGGCUUUCGUAUAAUCGAACAGGAAGACCCAUUCCCAUCAGUGGCAUUGGUCCAAAGAUGAAUCAUUUCCAGUAGGGCUAAAGUUGUAGAGGAUUUCGGGACAGCUCCGUAUUGACAGGUGUCCAAAACUUGUAGAGCAGCGGGUUUGAUGACAACUAAAUCCUUAGCCAGUUUGGAAAGACAUGGUGUAAGGGACAUUGGUCUUGGAUCUUUUUUGAUAUUUUUAACUGGUUUCUUUUUCGGAAGUGGUGUAACGUCUGCAAGUUUACACACACUGGGAAGCAGCUGUUCUUUAAAGGAAGCAACUUAGUGAUGAGAUGUAAUAAAGCAUAUUCUUUCAAAAGCCAGUGGGGGAUUGCAUCGGGCACACAGGCUUUGGUAGGAUCCAGCUAACAUAACAAUUCAUAGACUUGAUGUUCUGAUACUUCCACUAAUUUGGACGAGUCUUCUAAGGGAAGUGGAACGAGGGGAUCAAUCAUCCUGUAUUCACAUAUGGGCUAUAGCAAAGCGUUGUUGAGUGAAUUGGCAAGGUCUUUCGGUGGCAAAUUGUUCAGAUCAGUUACGUUAGUGUGGUUAAGCAGAUCAAACCACGCAAUCUUUAACUUCCAUCAUCCACCAUCUCUUUGUGUUGUUUUCAUUAAGGUGCUGGAUCUUUUUACUUACGAUUACAACAUGGUCAAGGUUGACAAAAUGUACAGCAAACACUAUCCAUUUCCUAAAAUUCAAAUCUGAUACAGUGUUCCAUAGACGUUGGAACGUCGCCGGYGCGUUUGUUAAAUCAAAUGCCAUUUUAUUACAUUCGUAGAAUCCUAGCGGGCCAACAGUAAAAGCAGUCUYUGGCUUAUCUUCUUCCUCCAGCUCUAUCUGCCAAUAGCCACUCUUUAGGUCUAACACAGAAAACCAACGACAACCUCCCAUAGCUUCCAGGGCUCCUSGAUCCUCGGUAAUAGGCAUCUUUGAUGGUGAGAUAGUCAAGCUUUCCAAAAUCAGUGCAAAAUCUGAGAGACACUUCUCGCUUUCUGACAAGAUGACCAAGGGCUGUGACUUUCUCUUAUAACGCCACCAUCCAGCAUCAUGUUGACAAACGUCUUCAUACUGACCCAGGGGAACACGUCGAUGUCUCAUCUUGAAAGGGGUAUCAUCUGACAAUUUAAUGGCAAGCUUGACAGCAGAUAUGCGUUCAAGGUCGGUUGCAAGGUCGAAUAUUCUUUGCUCCCACUCCUUCAAUACCUGUACGGCCUUAUUCCUUUGUUCUUCRUCAACAGGUGAAUCACUUAAGUCAAAUACGCUAUCUUGUGGUACUGUUUCAGACAUUUCAGUCAAUGGUUCGAUCAUGAUAUUCACUUGAUUAAGGAUCGCUAGUAUUAUUUUUUUCCCGGAAUGGUGAUGUCGCGCGUGGAACUAUUAUGAAUUUUAAAUGKUAUGCAUUGUUCUUCUCCAUCCAGUUUGACAUUGACUAGCGUUGGAAGGACUUGCAGAUCUUCUGAGGUGUUAUUCUCCGCCACUGCGCAAUACGUGAGGCCAUUGUUCUUAGUCCCGCAUGCUGUCCACAUUAUAGCUGUUUCUUUACCUUUUAUCACUAUAGGUGCUUUCUAKUUCGUACCAAGGACCAAAGGCACCUGCUUGUUAAAUGUUGUAUUAUUGACGACGAGUAGAGGUAUGGCAUAUGAAACGUCCACUCCACCACUUUGCUCUGGAAAAAAAAUUCUAGCCUCAAGAUAGCCCUCAAAAGGAACAGGUUGACCUCCAGCACCUUCAACCUGCCAGUGCAGGAUCGUUUUCCACAUAAGCCAUACUUACGUGUGUUUUUUACCAAUAAAUAAACGACAUCAGGACCAGAAAACUUACCAAGACCCUACUGCUUGUCCCUCAGCAGAGGUCGACUGAGUUUGGUGACAUCAUGGGUGACUCUUUCUUGCCUUGAUUCCUCUCUAAUGUUUCGGUUUUCUUCAAGAUCUUCUUAAGUAAGGCACCAUUUUCUUUCUGUCCUUUAAUCUGUACUUCCAGUUCCUGAAUUUUCUUGGAUAAUUCAUACACAGUCUUGUUGGAACACUGCAUCAAAACAGGCUUUUAUGACUUGGAUUUCUUGGUUUGUAGAUCAUCUCUUUCAUUUCUUGUUCUACUGAUCUCAAUUCAGCCAUAGGCUUGUCAAUGUCUCUAGUUGACUCAUACUUGUAACRUGUGGCAUUGCGCAUCUGCUCAUCUCAUAGAUCAGACCAAAGAUUGUUUCUUAGCGUUUCACCAACCUGAAUUGUUUGGACACUCCUCCCCGGUGAACAGCUUUGUCAAGGAUGUCCUCUAGCCUACACCCAUACGCUGCCACUGAUUCUUGUACUUGUGCUUUGAUAAAUUGUUGUAGCAACGUCAUACCACUCUCUACAAUUCUGUACACAGACUCGAGUUUUUGCAAGAUGUCUUCCAAGGAUACAUCCUCCCCGAUGUCUAUGGCAAGGCGGCCUGCUCAUCCCUUCAAAGAAUGCCUUACGCUUUGAAGUAGCARGUUGCGGUUGUUGAUGUUGUCUUUCAUCAAACAUUCGAUGCACUUCGAAUUUCCAGGCUUCAAAAGAUGUUUCACCUUUCGAUACGAUUUAGCGCUCAUUACUAUCCUACGUAAGCACUUUAUCAUUAUACAUCUGCAACCAAUAGGAACUCUUCUCCUAGAGUCAAGUUGGGUAAAUAUAUUUAGGGAUUUUAGGUUAAUCAUCUAAAACAGAGGAAAUGUAUAAUAUUUCUUACAUCAUGUAAUUAAGUUAAAAACUAGGGUAAAAUAGUUGUAGAUGUCAGUUGAGGCAAACGCUGAGCAGAAGAAACUUAAUAAACGCUCCACGAGCAAUCCAACCAGAACCGUACUUGAGUACUAUUACACACUCAUAUCAAAGUUUGCAUGCUCGAGUAUGUUAAGUCCUGGUUCAGAGCAGCCUAAAGACCCCCCGCGAAUACUCAGGCGAUUGCGGUGAAAACAAAGAUGGCGGACCAUGCGUAUCGAAGGACGUUAUAGUUUUGCCGUUUUAACGGAUCCAAAUCUAUUCGGUAUAAUUUUUUUUWCAAUAUAUUUUAAGCCACCAAUGUGUUAACCAUUUUGGAGUGACAUUUUAAGGAUAUGAUUUCUCAAAAAAUACAUUUAAUCGGUAUCAAGAAUUGGCUAUCAUCGCACUUCUUUUCUSUAACUGGAGUGAUAAAAUGAGGGAACUCAAAAAGUCGCCAUUUGACAUGCUACAGUCUUGKGUAAGCUUAUUAUAAUUAUUUCUAUCUUAUAGCUAGAUAAUAGAGAACAAAGAACACUAAAUGUGUGCAACACUUGCCUGYAUUUACUA